UUAAUAUUCAGAUACUGCCAUCACAAACAAAUAUUCAGAUAUUUGGGUCCAGCCCUUAAAGAUAUCUACUUUUUGAUUUCCACUUUUGUUCCUGUUUCCUAGCAUUUGCCAAAUUUGGUGUCCCGGCUGUAAUGGAAGGCAGUGUUUCCCCUCCUAUAUGACCGAUGAGGCGGGCCGCCUCGCUGGUAUAGGCCACCGCCUCAUUACAAUUCUGAAGACAUUGCCGCCUCACUGGUCCGCACCAAAAAAAAAAAAAAAGGUAAUGCUAAAUAUUAGAAAGCAUUGACACAUAAGUACGGUAUAUUCGCCGCUGAAAUCAACAAGCCAGAAUGGCAGCCUUUUCUCGCCGUGGCUGAAGACAGUAAGGCACAUCCCCAUUGCGGACAAGAAGCAGCAGCGCUCCAGGGUUUCGUUUUUCGGGGCUAAAAGCAGGUGUGUAUCACAGACAUAUGUCAAAUUAAGUAUCAAAACUAUCGUAUGUCAUCAAAAUAAAGUGAGCAACGCAGUGUAGGCAUCGAUCUCGCUUCCUUUACUGAGUUUGCUUACUGUUUUGUUGUCUGUGGCGAUACGAAUUUACAUUGACUGCAAAAAUGGCUCCAGUUAAAACAUUUAGGCACGACAAAACCCGUUCUCACCAACGAGACAAAUGAUUUCAACGGACUAUGAAGUUCCUAGUUUCUUUUGAUAAAAUGAUUUAUAGAGUGCCCGAAAUUAUAUCAUUCAAUGGCAAAACAAAUUCUGUAAUUUCAACGGUUCAGCGGCCUGCAGGCGGGCCGUUUUGAUAUCUGCAUAAGCAUUUUUCAAAAUAGAACGGCACUGCCAACGCGAUUAUAGAAACACUAUACACCCAUGGAAAGCUUAGAUUGAUCAACAUUAAUCCCCACUUAUAUUUGAUUUGCCUCAUGUAAUAAAGAGGGCAUGUGUUCAAAUUUGGUGUUUGUGUUUUCAAGAAUGUUUACUUAAAGUCUUUAAUUCAGCUGCCUGACACAUAUCACAGUGCAAAAUUAUGUAUUCUAACUCAAGGUUAACAACUGGUAUUCUAAAGAAGUUAUUUCUUUGUUCAAAAAGGUAACAGUUUUGAAAACAGAACUAACUCCUUCAGAAAACCAGUUGUCAACCCAGAGUUCAAGUUUUCUUUCACAUGUUUAAGUAAAAUGAAGGUCAUGACAACCUUUUUAUUAUAAAUAAAAAUGAAGUGGGAAUUUGGUACCUAACAUGUAGUUGUUUUUAGAAAAAAAGUAAAAGUCACCACUUGAUUCCAGAUUCAAGUCCUUUGUCGUCUUUUUCAAAUUUGUAAUAAGAACUGAUGUGGCAUUUUGGAAUGGCUUGUGGAAAUCUGACCAGAAUAUAAUAGACUGGACUAGUUGACAUGUUUUGAUCGCGAGGACAAGUGGGUUUAUAUUUGUCAUAUUUUCUCCCUAUCAAAAAUUUUUAGAAAAGAAACAUGAAAAUUUUAUUUAAUUUAGUUUUUGGAAAUGGCUACAAAUACAACAAAAUGUGCUCCAAAUUGUGCCAGAAUGCCCCAUUUUGCAUCUUGAUUUUCAAAAUUUUUCUGGGGGGGGCAUGCCCCCGGACCCCCCUAGUUCCUUCACGCCUGCGGCGCUCGCCAAUGCAAGGGCCCUCAGCCCUUGCCUACACCCCACCACCUCACAGCCAUUUCAACCCAGGGGAAACACUGGAAGGUGUUAGUCAUUGACAGUUCAGGGACUGAGUUGGAUGAUGAUGUCUUUGAGGACAUCAUAAAAGAUCCCUCCACUGGGGUGCUAACCAUUACAUAUGAAAAAGGUUUGUUCCAGUUAAAUUUGUAAUCUUUAUUAACCUUUUUACUCAAAUAGUGACUCCAGGUGAAUCUUUAUUUCUAACAAAGCUAAGUUAGUUUAAUCUCAAGUGAAGCUUAUAUUCUUCAUUAGAUACGGUAUGGGUGUGAGCGAACUAUGUGUAACAUGUCUUCUUUCUCCUCUUACCAAUUGUGGUUAGAAUUUGUCUCCAUGGUAGCCUCAACUGAGUCCCAGGUUUCAUCUGUUGCUUCAUCGGACUCUGAUACAAUUAUGCUUCCAGACAGCCCUUCCAGAAAGCGUCAGAGGCUGGAUUCGGAAGCUAAGCAACUGGUGGAAUCCGUUCUUACCAAGAAAUCUGGUGGAGAAUAUUUGAUAAAUGAAUACAACCGAACUAAGUCCUUGGCAGAUGAGAGCAGAAGGAAAAUGGUGAACAUACUGGUAGCUGAUAUGACUGAGAAGAAUGGUACAUCUCCACCCAGACAGGUGAAAGAAAUGUAUGUGCGAGGAAUUGUGAACUUCUUUCCCUACCUCAGAGACCCAUUCUCCAAGUAUGGCUAUGAGCAUUAUUAUGAUGGUGACAGUGGCACUGGGUACUUGGCCUGGAGACUUAAAACUAUUCAGAGAUGCAGUGCUAAAGACAGGCGAUCUUUAUUUGGAGCAUCAGCAGAAGGACCAUCUGGUGAGGACAUGUCGUGAGGACCAACUGUCAGACGAGUUUCCCAAUUCGUUCCAGAGACUGUCCUCAGUGAAGAUGAAUGCAAGGAAGCGAUCUCACUGAUGAAACAUUCAGCUGAUGAGGACAUGGUCAGGAAGAAGAUGAAGCUGACAUUUGUCCAUCGACGUAACAUGGUCCUUGACCCACAGCAGUCAGAUGACAUACUAUCUGAUUUUCCACAUUUCAAAGACAUCAAGGGCUUGGUUGAACAGGAUUUUGUUCUGAUGUUUGGUGAGGAUUUAUCAGACAAGUUUCUGGAGAAGUGGCCAACCACAUUCAAGAAAAAGAUCAACAAUGCAGAAAGCUUCCCUCCAUCAGUGAGCUUGAGGACCUCCUGCUGGCAGCUGAUCCUCCUGAGGAUAGGGCUGAAGUGGAUGUUGAUUUUGGUUGGGACAGGGACCUCUCAUUGAUUUUACUGCUCCUACACUUGAUUCCACCUACUGCUCUGGGUGGAAAGAGACCAGGAAAGGUGUCUGCGUCCCGGGCUGAGAAGCAUCUUGUGGUUUUC